GAUGAACGCUAGCUACAGGCUUAACACAUGCAAGUCGAGGGGAAACGGCAUUGAGUGCUUGCACUCUUUGGACGUCGACCGGCGCACGGGUGAGUAACGCGUAUCCAACCUUCCCAUUACUGUGGGAUAACCUGCCGAAAGGCAGACUAAUACCGCAUGGUCUUCGAUGACGGCAUCAGAUUUGAAGUAAAGAUUUAUCGGUAAUGGAUGGGGAUGCGUCUGAUUAGCUUGUUGGCGGGGUAACGGCCCACCAAGGCGACGAUCAGUAGGGGUUCUGAGAGGAAGGUCCCCCACAUUGGAACUGAGACACGGUCCAAACUCCUACGGGAGGCAGCAGUGAGGAAUAUUGGUCAAUGGACGUAAGUCUGAACCAGCCAAGUAGCGUGCAGGAUGACGGCCCUAUGGGUGUGUAAACUGCUUUUGUAUGGGGAUAAAGUCAGUCACGUGUGAUUGUUUGCAGGUACCAUACGAAUAAGGACCGGCUAAUUCCGUGCCAGCAGCCGCGGUAAUACGGAAGGUCCAGGCGUUAUCCGGAUUUAUUGGGUUUAAAGGGAGCGUAGGCCGGAGAUUAAGUGUGUUGUGAAAUGUAGACGCUCAACGUCUGACUUGCAGCGCAUACUGGUUUCCUUGAGUACGCACAACGUUGGCGGAAUUCGUCGUGUAGCGGCGAAAUGCUUAGAUAUGACGAAGAACUCCGAUUGCGAAGGCAGCUGACGGGAGCGCAACUGACGCUUAAGCUCGAAGGUGCGGGUAUCAAACAGGAUUAGAUACCCUGGUAGUCCGCACAGUAAACGAUGGAUGCCCGCUGUUGGUACCUGGUAUCAGCGGCUAAGCGAAAGCAUAAAGCAUCCCACCUGGGGAGUACGCCGGCAACGGUGAAACUCAAAGGAAUUGACGGGGGCCCGCACAAGCGGAGGAAACAUGUGGUCUAAUUCGAUGAUACGCGAGGAACCUACCCGGGCCUGAAAUUGCAGAGGAAGUAUUUAGAGAUAAUGA
rnacentral:rRNA from 1 species